UUGAACGCUGGCGGUAUGCUUUACACGUGCAAGUCGAACGGCAGCACGGGGCAACCUGGUGGCGAGUGGCGAACGGGUGAGUAACAUAUCGGAACAUAUCCGGAAGUGGGGGAUAACGUAGCGAAAGUUACGCUAAUACCGCAUAUGCCCCGAGGGGGAAAGGGGGGGAUCGCAAGACCUCUCGCUUUCGGAGUGGCCGAUAUCGGAUUAGCUAGAUGGUGAGGUAAAGGCUCACCAUGGCGACGAUCCGUAGCUGGUCUGAGAGGACGACCAGCCACACUGGAACUGAGACACGGUCCAGACUCCUACGGGAGGCAGCAGUGGGGAAUUUUGGACAAUGGGCGCAAGCCUGAUCCAGCCAUACCGCGUGAGUGAGGAAGGCCUUCGGGUUGUAAAGCUCUUUCAGACGGAAAGAAAUCGGGCGCGUGAAUAGCGUGCCUGGAUGACGGUACUGUCAGAAGAAGCACCGGCUAACUACGU
rnacentral:rRNA from 1 species